AGCACAUACAAGAAGAGAAGCAAACUGUACAAACUGAAGGUAUAUGCAAUACAUUUUUCAUUUUGUAUAUAGUCUGAUAAUUACAUACACCCAAAAUGUUGAUAAACCAAAUUCCUACAACCUAAGCCUAAUCCAAUGCAUAACAGAGGUCUGAGGAGACCCCCUUAAGAAAUGCAUGCCCGGGGUAAAAGAGGCCUUACUUUAACUUCUGAUACCAAAUACAGUCUCCAACCUAACUUUGAACAAAAUCAUAGACGUUUCUCUGAUAGAGUUCACUGAAACAAAAAGGGAGAAAAGGCCCACUCUACUCACACUUAAUCGACUUGUAUAUGUGGCGAACAAAGAACAGUGAGGCACGGAAACCCACUGCCCCAAGCAUGAGAAAGAAGCCAUA
rnacentral:misc_RNA from 1 species